GAAGAGAGGGAGAACUAUAGAGAGAGAAAGAAGACAUCGAGAGAGAUCAAAGGUUGACACACUGACAGCUGUCUUUGAUUCACCUGUAAGCCUUCGUAAGCAUGCACAAACGCACAGGAAUGAAUAAAAGGCUGCUCCCACAGCUCCCCAGACUGUCUGUGAAGGCGAUAGUUGGAGUGGAGGGGAGGUGCUAUGCAUGGGCUCCGGGCUCCCAGACUGUAAGUCACACCCUGCUGAUUGGAUCAUACUGGCCUCUCGGGGACAAUAAAAACACCCGUCUUUCCCUUUA